ACAACUGGGAUCUCUUCAGUAAUUGCGCAUGAACCAGGAUAUGCUUAGCUUGACAAAUGGAGCUGCUGGCUCUGAAUUGUAUUGUGGGGAUGUAUUACCAACAGAGGUGCAGGUGUCAGCCAUUUGAAAGAAAGCAUCAAUGAGGGUGAGAGUCCUGUUUGUCAUGUGCAGCCUUCUGUGCACGGUAUAUAUUUGCUGAGUCACACUCCUUGGCAUUGGAAUGCAAAGUGGGUGGUAAGUUUCAUGCAAAGGUAAAUAUGCAAUUGAGACUGAUAGCGCACAAGUACCAUGAGGGACAUAUGAAAAGGACUUUGAACAGAGAAUUAAAUGAGUUUGUAUUUGCUAAACACAAAGUAAACAGACUUGAUUUCCUCAGUGAGAUUGUAGUGCUUGCUUGACAAUGGGUUUUGGCUGCAAGUGCAAUAAUUCUUGCUUUGUGUGCCAGUUUUUAUGUGGACAUUUGAUUACCUUGGCACAUGAAUGGUAAUUUUCCUGCGGGGUGUGGAUUGCAUAUGCAUGUAAUGAUUUGCAUGUUUGUUAAAUGUGUCUGGUGUAUUUGUUUGUGUCCUUGUCCUUGAGGUUGCUUUCUCCCUUGGGCUUACAUGCCCUGGCACACACAUUCUGGCAAAAUGCUUCUGCUUGACCCGUCUUGAAA
rnacentral:rRNA from 1 species